rnacentral:rRNA from 1 species
UACGAAGGGGGCUAGCGUUGCUCGGAAUUACUGGGCGUAAAGGGCGCGUAGGCGGCCGAUCAAGUCAGGCGUGAAAUUCCCGGGCUCAACCUGGGGGCUGCGCUUGAGACUGGUUGGCUAGAGGCCGAGAGAGGGUGGUGGAAUUCCCAGUGUAGAGGUGAAAUUCGUAGAUAUUGGGAAGAACACCGGUGGCGAAGGCGGCCAACCUGGCUUGGUACUGGACGCUGAGGCGCGACAGCGGUGGGGAGCAAACAGG